rnacentral:rRNA from 1 species
GGCUUUUUGAAUAUUAAUUUAAGGUUCGGUCUGCCCACUGACUAUUAGUUUAAUGGCCGCAGUAUCUUAACUGUGCAAAGGUAGCAUAAUCAUUAGUCUUUUAAUUGAAGGCUUGUAUGAAUGAUUAGACGAGAUGAAAGCUGUUUCAUAAGAAAAAUUAGAAUUUUAUUUUUUAGUUAAAAAGCUAAAAUUUUUUUAAAAGGCGAGAAGACCCUAUAGCUCUUUAUACUAAUUAAUUUAUUUUUGUUAGGUUUAUUUAUUAUUUAAUUUAUUAUGUAUUAUGUUGGGGUGAUGGUGAAAUUUAAUAAACUUUCAUUAAUAAAUUUCCAUUAAUUUAUGAUUAUUUUUUGAUCCUUUACUAUUGAUUAAAAAUUUAAGUUACCUUAGGGAUAACAGCGUAAUUAUUUUGGAGAGUUCAUAUCGAUAAAAUGGAUUGCGACCUCGAUGUUGGAUUAAAAUUAAUUCUGGGGGUAGUAUUUCAGAUGAUUAAGUCUGUUCGACUUUUAAUAUUUU